rnacentral:rRNA from 1 species
UACGAAGGGUGCAAGCGUUAAUCGGAAUUACUGGGCGUAAAGCGCGCGUAGGUGGUUCGUUAAGUUGGAUGUGAAAGCCCCGGGCUCAACCUGGGAACUGCAUCCAAAACUGGCGAGCUAGAGUACGGUAGAGGGUGGUGGAAUUUCCUGUGUAGCGCUGAAAUGCGUAGAUUUAGGAAGGAACACCAGUGGCGAAGGCGACCACCUGGACUGAUACUGACACUAAGGUGCGAAAGCGUGGGGAGCAAACAGG